AUGGGCCCCGCGUCCACUGCGGUUGUGAGCGCGCCGUCAGCACCCACUGACAGCUGCUCGCGACGUUGUGUUAGGC
rnacentral:sRNA from 1 species